UAAUAUCAGCAGGUAAAUCGGAGAUCUGCCUCAGCGUCCUUCGCUGGUACGGCAUCAGGAGAAAACUCCGGAUGCCUACUGGUAUUAGG
rnacentral:pre_miRNA from 1 species